GCCAGCCGGUGCCCGGGUUCUACAGGAGCGCGCAGUUCCGGCGCGUGGCCCUCUGCUCCGGAAGUGGUUCUCCUCAGUACCGCUCUUCGCGUCAGAGCCGGUCUCGCUUUUCCUCAGGCGUCGGCCGAAGCCGCCUGCAGACAAGUUUUGGAAGGAAGGGCCUCCUGUACGGGGUCCACGCAGCCGCAGUCCGGCUGGUGCUGUUAACGUGCCGGCGGCGGCGGCGAGCGCCGCCGCUCCUGACCCGUCGUGGCCCGGCCGGCGACUCCGAGCCUCAGUAACGAGGUUGUGAAGAUGAGAAAAGAAGUGAAGAGAAUCCGAGUUUUUAUCUGAAAACUUGUCAGGAGUGUGAGCAGACUGGAGUCAGAAAAGGGUACUGAAGAUGCACUGUUAAAAAACCAGAGAUGAGCACAACGAUUGCUUGAAGAAAUCCAUGCCAUGAAGUUAAGGACUUAUUACAUGGAGGCUGAAGCUGAUGUUUGGAGGGUUAAGUGCCUGCUCACAGUGAAACGGCUAAGGGGUGGAGUCAGAACAUAAGCCAGGCAGUUUGGGAUCUAAGAGCUGGUGUUCCCUAGCAGGUACUUACAAAAUAGUACCUAUAGAGAUAUCUUAAUAUCUCUUUAAUAUAGAAAUAGAGAGAGGUAAGGAACGGGGAAACUGCAUUGUGCUGACAGACAGACAUACCUGAAGAACAAAAUGAGGCCGGGCCCUGAUAGAGCUGGUGCGUCAAAGAGUAUUAUUACAAUUUAUAUAGAAAUGGAUGAUCCUGUCUUGCUUUUAUAAACUGUCCCUCAGAUAGAACAAAGGGUUUUAAGGCAUAAAGUGGUAUUAUAAGGAACAAGUACAGCACAAGCACCAUUAAAAUAAUCCCAAGCAAACACUUAAAUCUUUAUAUCAUGUCUUUGUUGGGUAAGGACUAUUUUUUUUUUAUUGAAGCUCAAUUGGAAUUUCCAAAGUACAAAGGCAACUGAAAACUAAAUAAUACUUAUGGAUGGAAGAGUUGUUCACCAAGAUAAAUCUAAAAUGAUCCAUUUGUGACUCUAUAUGCCAUCCCCAAACAAGUCAGACUCCUUUUGGGCUUACCACGGCCUCUUUCUAUGGCCCCGAUUGCUGUCUGCAGCACUUGGUGUACAACUUGCCAAGCAUGGCUCGCCUCUGGCAUCAAGUGGCCAGUUGCAGAGGCAGCCCCACCCUGCAGCCAGUUUCCAGAAGUCCUGAUGAAGACUUUCACCCCUGUGGCGUGCUGCCUGGAUGCUACUGGCAUCCCUUAGACACGGCGGUCCCUCACAGGGACUCCAGAGGACAGAACAAGACACUCCUUGUUGCCCUUGCUGAAAGGAGCUGCUUCUUGAAAUGGCUUCAAUUGAGUCAGCGCCACCCCCUCUUAGAUGCCGUCCAAACUGCACGACUUCCCAGGGCUUCCAAGAACCCUGCCAAGGGGCUCCCUCCCACCAGGAAGCAGAAAGCACUCAGUCACUGUGAGAUGGAAUUCUCAGAAUGGGAAAAACCAGGGCACAGGCAUACCCAUUAUUACAUUUAGAUAUCAAGUCCAGGGCUCACUCACUGACAGCUAUUUUGUACAGGGACAAUAUGAAACAAUCCCCAUGAAUUCACAAUCCACCCCACACAUAGCUCACAGAUUUUUCCCUUUUGCCUAAAGGGCUAGAGUAAAUACUGCUGGCCUGGGGCAUAUCAGCUUCCAAGACACCUGACCACUCCCUUCCUUCAACCAUCAUUCACUGAGCACCUGCCUUUGCUCAGCCCUGCUGGGCCUGCAAAGUGAAUGAAACAGGGCCUCUUGCUCUUCACAGCCCUUAAUGGGAAGGAGCAGAGAGAGUAGAAAACACAGUCCAAUAGAGGGUACAGGCAACAUGCUGCAAUAGCUAUGCUUACAGCACAUCUGAUUGGGGGAGGGAAAGCAAACUGAGUUCAAAACGGCUCUUUGAACAGAAGGAUCUGCAGUCCUUUCAGAAGCCCCACAUUCUCUCUGCAUGGCAUGAAGGGAGGCAGGUGCAGUUCCCUACUCAGCCGCUAGCUGUGGUGCACCCUGUCCUGCCUCUCCUGUGACUGAUUAGGCAGGGUAGAUUGGAACUUAAUUGCACAAAAGCUGAAGAUACAGUGACAAAGGACUCCUCACUGAAUUCCAGGCAUCUGCUAGAAAAGAAAGAUUCAUACUGAGAACAUGGAAAGUGGGUUGUGAAACAGGCAGGACUGCAGGCGGCAGGACAUGAAGAGGAUGGAGUACCCUCCACUGGGUAGGGGUGGGGGGAUCUUCCUGAUGUUUCAAUCCAAGUGAACAGAUGCCAGCUGCUGUUUAACCUUCCUGUAUCCCUCUUCCAACAGCAUCUGGCCAGAACCCUUGUGCUCCUUCUCACCGCCUACAUAUUUACCUAGGGCUCCUUUUGAAACUCUUAUGCCCGUGCUUGGGAAUAAAGCCCUUCAAGCCUUUGUAAA